rnacentral:rRNA from 1 species
ACACUCCUGCGGGAGGCAGCAGUGGGGAAUUUUGGACAAUGGGCGAAAGCCUGAUCCAGCAAUGCCGCGUGAGUGAAGAAGGCCUUCGGGUUGUAAAGCUCUUUUGUCAGGGAAGAAACGGUGAGAGCUAAUAUCUUUUGCUAAUGACGGUACCUGAAGAAUAAGCACCGGCUAACUACGUGCCAGCAGCCGCGGUAAUACGUAGGGUGCAAGCGUUAAUCGGAAUUACUGGGCGUAAAGCGUGCGCAGGCGGUUUUGUAAGUCUGAUGUGAAAUCCCCGGGCUCAACCUGGGAAUUGCAUUGGAGACUGCAAGGCUAGAAUCUGGCAGAGGGGGGUAGAAUUCCACGUGUAGCAGUGAAAUGCGUAGAUAUGUGGAGGAACACCGAUGGCGAAGGCAGCCCCCUGGGUCAAGAUUGACGCUCAUGCACGAAAGCGUGGGGAGCAAACAGGAUUAGAAACCCGUGUAGUCCCAUGA